GAAAUGCUUUUAUCUGAGAGGGUGAGUUGUUAAGCGUAGCGAACUAAAGUAGCGAAGGUGGAUAAUCAAACUGUCGAGAAAAGCUUCUAGUGAGAUACAACCAACCCGUACCGCAAACCGACACAGGUAGUCGAGUGGAGAACACUCAGGUGAUCGAGAGAACUCUCGUUAAGGAACUCGGCAAAAUGACCCCGUAACUUCGGGAGAAGGGGUGCUGAUUUAACGAUCAGCCGCAGUGAAUAGGCCCAGGCGACUGUUUAUCAAAAACACAGGUCUCUGCCAAAUCGAAAGAUGACGUAUAGGGGCUGACGCCUGCCCGGUGCUGGAAGGUUAAGAGGAGAGGUAAAGAGCAAUCUGAAGCUUUGAAUUGAAGCCCCAGUAAACGGCGGCCGUAACUAUAACGGUCCUAAGGUAGCGAAAUUCCUUGUCGGGUAAGUUCCGACCCGCACGAAAGGCGUAACGAUCUGGGCACUGUCUCAACGAGAGACUCGGUGAAAUUAUAGUACCUGUGAAGAUGCAGGUUACCCGCGACAGGACGGAAAGACCCCAUGGAGCUUUACUGUAACUUGAUAUUGAGUGUUUGUGUGGCAUGUACAGGAUAGGUAGGAGCU
rnacentral:rRNA from 1 species